GACGAACGCUGGCGGCGUGCUUAACACAUGCAAGUCGAACGGAAAGGCCCUGCUUUUGUGGGGUGCUCGAGUGGCGAACGGGUGAGUACCACGUGAGUAACCUGCCCUUGACUUUGGGAUAACUUCAGGAAACUGGGGCUAAUACCGGAUAGGAGCUCCUGCUGCAUGGGGGGGGUUGGAAAGUUUCGGCGGUUGGGGCUGGACUCGCGGCUUAUCCGCUUGUUGGUGGGGUAGUGGCUUACAAAGGUUAUGACGGGUAGCCGGCCUGAGAGGGUGGCCGGCCACAUGGGGCCUACGGUAGGGCCCAGACUCCUACGGGAGGCAGCAGGCGGGAAUAUUGCACAGUGGGCGGAAGCCUGAUGCGGCAACGCCGCGUGCGGGAUGACGGCCUUCGGGUUGUAAACCGCUGUCGCCUGUGACGAAGCGUGAGUGACGGUAAUGGGUAAAGAAGCACCGGCUAACUACGUG
rnacentral:rRNA from 1 species